GGGUGCUGGCGGCUCCCCUUGGGCAGAGCCGCCCCUGUGUCCUGCACAUCCAGGGCUGGUUCCCUGUGUGGCCUCCUUAUCAGUUAGCAGGUUGGAUUCUGCUUGUUGCUUGAAAUUAAGGCAGUGGUGUUCAUCAGCAAACUACUUAAACAAUUCAGAAAAUACACCCAAGUAGGCAAAAGAGAAAAAAGAAAUCUAAAGGGAUGCAAAAUCUCAAAAGGGAAAAGAAACCACCUUAAUCCAGAUAAGCCUUCGGUGAGUGAGUAUUGAUUGCCAAUCGCUUUCAGGUGCCUGCGCUGAGCCAGGUUUGUCAUUAGGAGAACGAAGCGGCCCCUCCUCACUCCCCUCCGCCUUCUUGGCCUCUCUCCACUGCCUGGGCUAGGGGGCCCCUUGCCCCACACACUCCCGUCCUCCUCGUGGUUCUCCUGGGGGCUCUGGGCAGAAAACCCCCCUCCCUGGGGGGCCGCCACAGCUGGAGCUGGGGCCUGCCCCGCACCCCAAAAGGAAGGUGACGAAUGCCUCCUCCAUCCCCCUUAGCGACCCCAGCACCUGGCUGGUGCCUGAGCUGGAAGGGGAGUCCGCAGAACAAGGAGCCCCUUGGCCACCUGUGCAGCAUGGGUGGAGCAUGCAACGGCGCCCGCGCUGGAAGGGCUGUAAGGCGAUGGGGCAAGGGUGUCUCAGGCCUGGAGCUGUAUUGAGGACGCACUCAUGGAACUUUCGUCUUCACAGGAGUCUACGUGGGCCCCGCAGAGGCUCUAAACGUGCCAGACACUGUGCUGGGCCCUUGGGACACAUCCACGAAAUACCACUUUCAAGAUCACAGUCGCGUUUUUCAGAACAAAAUGUUUUUCUUCUUGGAGAAUUAACUGGAGCCCCGUGCGUUUGUGCGUGGCCAUCCCCGUGUGACUGCCGGCUGUGCUGGUGCACUGGCCUCUGAUGAGACAUCCCUGGGUCACUCGUUCACUCGCUGGACAGGCCCCCUGGGCCCCGGCUGUGUGCCAGGUGCUCGUUUAGGAUUGCUGCUGAGAAGUGGACUCUUUAUCAGUCGAAUUCUGUUUUCCACAGAUAAUUUAUUUCAGAAUGAAUGAUUCCUCCUCUUUCUCCUUCCCUUCUCUGUGGAGAAGAUGCUGGAGGGUGAAGUGAGGAACAGAACCUGCGCUUAUGUCUGACGGGGGUUGAAUCCUCAGAGUUCCCCGCGAGAAGAUGCUGGAGGGUGAAGUGAGGACCAGAACCUGCCCUUAUGUCUGACGGGGGUUGAAUCCUCAGUGUUCCCCGCGAGAAGAUGCUGGAGGGUGAAGUGAGGACCAGAACCUGCCCUUAUGUCUGAUGGGGGUUGAAUCCUCAGUGUUCCCCGCGAGAAGAUGCUGGAGGGUGAAGUGGGGACCAGAACCUGCCCUUAUGUCUGAUGGGGGUUGAAUCCUCAGAGUUCCCCGCGAGAAGAUGCUGGAGGGUGAAGUGAGGACCAGAACCUGCCCUUAUGUCUGACGGGGGUUGAAUCCUCAGUGUUCCCCGCGAGAAGAUGCUGGAGGGUGAAGUGGGGACCAGAACCUGCCCUUAUGUCUGAUGGGGGUUGAAUCCUCAGAGUUCCCCGCGAGAAGAUGCUGGAGGGUGAAGUGAGGACCAGAACCUGCCCUUAUGUCUGACGGGGGUUGAAUCCUCAGUGUUCCCCGCGAGAAGAUGCUGGAGGGUGAAGUGAGGACCAGAACCUGCCCUUAUGUCUGAUGGGGGUUGAAUCCUCAGUGUUCCCCGCGAGAAGAUGCUGGAGGCUGAAGUGAGGACCAGAACCUGCUCUUAUGUCUGAUGGGGGUUGAAUCCUCAGUGUUCCCCGCGCCUCCCCCCAGCAGAGCAUUUCCUGCUUCAGAAGCCGCCCCCCGCCCCCACCCCCGCUGGGGCAAUUUUUCCUUAAGGGCCUUGAGGCGCUCGGUUUUUGAAGGAUAAUUGCAGCCCCCACAGAAGCCGAACGAUUCCUGGUUGAGGAAACAGUGUCUCCCCAUUUAUCUCUGUUGGAAGUUCAGAUCGGCAGAUGCUGGUCAGAGCCCUCUCCCCUCACAGCCUGGCAAUAAUCCACGUGGAGAAACGUUGAGUGCUAGGAUUUCAUAAAUUCAUGAAACGUAUUAACCAGAAGUGUUGCCAAAAGACCUUGUUCACAGUCCAAGAUCUGAGUGUUUAUGCACAGAAGGGGUCUGCUUCCCGCCGGGACCCCCCUCACCAGCAUCUGCUGAUUUCCCCUCCCGCUAAUGGAAAGUAACUGAUGUGAUGAGAAGGGACAGGUCGGAGCCGCCCCCUCCGCCCUGGCUCCAGCGGGGCUGAGGACGCUUAACGACGUUCUGUUCCGAACACCUGCGAUCCCAUCAUUACCUCCCAAACAGAACAUUUUGGAGAGAUACUGCAUUUCCAUAGGUUUCAAGAAGUACUUUCGAACCACUGUUCCCAAGCCAAGGUGGAAAGCUACGUUUCAGCAUCUGAGUAGUUUUUGAAUGACCCGCAGUGACUGAAGGAAGGAGAGGGAUUUCGAACACACUCGGGAAAGACAAACUCCCCCCGUCCGCUUUAGAACUGGAGAGAGAGCAACGCUCGCGGUUUGGAAGGAGCUUGGGGGGGCAUCUGAUCUGGUGAAACAUCUGCCCCCACCCCUUAUUACAGCCUCGACUCUUUAACUUUUAUGGUAGACCCUGGGCUGGGUGCUGAGGAUUUAAGGAUAAAUGGGAUUUUCUUGCUGCUAAAGGGCUAAGUUAGUGGGGGUGCAUCCACACCACGGAUAUUUGUUUCACGACGUGAUACAUGUGACGGGCUGUGUGUGUGACUAUACAGUGAGAACAAGACAGGGAUUCGAGAAGAAGCGUCACAAUCCGCAGGCCUCUCUCUCUCCGCUGACCUGUGGCGCGGGGCGGAGAAUCCUGUGGUUCCUGUCCUGCUUCUCAGCCCCGCCCUCCUUUUGGGGGAAUCCGAAACGCUGCCUGGACGCUGGUCGAAGGGUGCCACCUGCCUUCCUUUUCAUCUGGGGUCCCGGCCACACCCCCACGUCCCUGCUGCUACCCUGUUUUGUUCCCCUCCGUGUGACAGGAGCGCAGGAUUUGCGUGGGGAGGGCAGGAGCUGUCCCUGAUGAAGUUGCCUGGGCACACCAGAGUGUGGGAGAGUGGACGGCGCGGCCCCUCCUGCACUUGGAGCUGCUCUCAGAUCUUGGGCUGUGACCCCUGUGGGUGACACGAAGUUCAGUGAUUGUCCUCCUUCUGGACUGAGGGACAUCCAUCCACACGCGCCCCCUCCACAGCCCGAUCCCAUCACGUCCUGCUCGUCCAACAUGGGCCUUAGAUCCUGGGGUCUCUGCUGAGUGCCUCCCCUCUGAACGCCCGGCUGGCACUUUCACGGUGAAGCCAGCUGUCAUGGACACCGACGGCAGGUGGCCUUUCUGCGUUGUCUACCGGCUGAUCUUGAAAGUGAAAACGGACAUUGUCUGCCCUGUGGUGACCGUGUUGGGUGAUGGUCCUGGGGUCAGGCCCUGCAUGCACCUUCACCCAGGGAUGGCUUCUUAGCUGACAGCGGCUCUGCCAGGAACCACGAUCACCCUCCAGUUUGCUCUUUGUGCUGAAUUUUAUUGACAUGAAAUUCGCAUGACGCCAACUUUAUCGUUUUAAAGUGAAUGGUUAAACAGAAUGCGGCACUUUCACAGGGCGGCAUGACCCCCACCUCUGUCUGCCUUCAGAACAUUUUCAUCCCCCACGAAAGGAGGAAGCGCAGUCCCCAGGAACAGUUACUCCUCAUUUCCCCUCCCCAGCUCUGGCUUCCGCAACCACGAAUCUGCUUUCUGUCUCCGUGAAUUUGCCUCUUUCGGAUAUAUUUCACGUAAAUGGAGUCCCGUGAUAGAUGAGCUGUGUCUGCCUCUUGCGGGCAGCACAGUGUCUGGAAGGUUCUCCGUGCAGCCGCAGGGGUUGGCGCUUCCUUCCUCCCGAGGCUGACCCGGCCCCGUCGUACGGGGAGUCCACUGUGUGUCUGUCUUUUGGCUGCUGUGAGCCUGGGUGUGCCGCCUGCUCCAGCCCAUGUUUUCAGCUCUUUCAGGUGUGGAGGGAGGAGUGGAAUUGUGGGAUCAUAUUGUAACUUUAACUUUGGAAGGAUCUGCCAAAUUACCCCUCUAAUUUGUUUUCAAUUUUAUUCUUAUUUCCCUGUCACUUGUUCUUUCUUUUGACUGGUUAAAAAAAAUGGCAAAGGUCUUCAGCAAAACAAGAAGUGAGUUUCAAUUGAACCGUGAAUUAAAUAUGAUACACUCAAAAUCUGACCAAUAAUACAUUUUAAUUUUCCCCACACAUUUACGUCCACGUUAAUUUCAUGGAAAUCAAGAUGCUUUUGCCUCUGUUCUAAAGUAUUUAUUUUUUUUAAGACAGGUUCUUACUCUGUUGCCCAGGCUGGAGUGCAAUGGCGCGAUCUCAGCUCACUGCAGUCUUGACCUCCCAGGCUCAAGCAAUCCUCCUGCCUCAGCCUCCUGAGUAGCUGGGACCACAGGUGUGCAUCACCAUGCCUGGCUAAUUUGUUACAUUUUUAGUAGAGACGGGGUUUCACCAUGUUGGCCAGGCUGGUCUGGAACUCCUGACCUGAAGCGAUCCUCCCACCUCAGCCUCCCACAGUGCUGGGAUUACAGGCGUGAGCCACCACGUGCAGCCUGAAAGUAUUUUUUUUUAGAGUUUCCUAAAAGUUUCAUCAUCCCUUUUGUUUUCCUAACAAGCUGUGAAACCCAGUGGGUUUUAAUUGUGAAUCAGCACCAAAACACAUGCAGAUUUAAUUUUUAAUUGAAAUGAUGGACAAUAAACAGAAUUAAUAACUCAAAUGCUUGAAGUCUGUCAAGCAUGGUGCUUUGUCUUUGCCAUGGACAUGAAAAAGCAGCAUUCCCCUCCGGACUUGAGGCUGGGGACCUUCUGAGUCAGAGCAGCCCCUCCCUCCCCACCUCCACGGCUGUUUCCACUUUGCCAUCUCCCCAGCGGGCUCUGCCCGUCCACCUGUGAGACACUCUGACUCCACGGCUUGGCUUCUGCUUGCCCCAGGCAGUGGGAUUCGGUGGCCAGGCCCUCAUUUGUUUCCCCCUCCUCCUUUCCCCAGCAGCUCCUGGCCUGGCAUGCAGCAGGUGCUCUGCUGGGCGAGUGGGAGGAGGGAGCAUAGCCACCGCUGCAGGUGGUCUGUUUGGUGCUGGGAGACGUCAUGCGUGUGUUGUCAGGCACUGGAACCCCCUGGGAGGGUGCAGGGCAGGUUUAGGACAGCCACGUGUGCCCAGAUCUAUGAGACCUUUGUGGGCUCGACUGAGUUGGGGGCUGGGCACAGAGCUUGGAGACCUCUUACUGGGAGCUGUGUGAGUGGCAGGGCCAAGGCUGUGGGGGCUGCAGGAGCUGGUGAGGAGGCAUGUGCUCGGCCGUCAUGGGACUGUCCCUGGGACUCCUGCAGCUGGGGUAGGCUCCAGGCAGGGCUCUGAGCUGCCCCCACACACCUCCAUGCAACCCCAGCUCCAUGUGCUGCUGGAAAGUCCCUGAGUACCAGGGGGGCACCUGGGGAGGGGCCUGAGUCCUGCAGACAGACCUGGGAUGGGGGUGUCAUCCACAGGUGAGGAGUGGUCCGUGCCAGGGACAGGCAGAGCCGCCAGCAUGGGCCCUGCUGGGAUCUCCGAUUGGGAAAACCAUCCCGCCACGGGAGGUGGCCAAGGUGCGUCCCCCAGCCUAUGCAUUGGGGUCCUGGUUCCAUCCCCGCCUCUCCUGUGGGCCGCACUCAGUGCCUUUUCCAUGUAACCCGUGCCGUGUGCGGUGCUCAGAGGAGGAGCGAUCGUCAUGGGGAGCUGCAGUGCCUUUUCCAUGUAACCCGCGCCGUGUGCGGGGCUCCGAGGAGGAGAGGACGUCACGGGGAGCUGCGGUGCCUUUUCCAUGUAACCCGCGCCGUGUGCGGGGCUCGGAGGAGGAGCGGUCAUCACGGGGAGCUGCAGCGCGUCUGGUGAUGUGGGGCUCACAGGCUCCUAAUGAGGCUCUCAGUCUUGUUUAUUGCGUUCUUGCUGGAAGAUUUUUUUUCUGAAACGUAGGCACAGAAUGAACUUGAAAUAUUGAGCUCUGCUUGAAAUAAAAAUGUCUUGAUAAUUAGAACCUUUGCCUGAACAGAUUCCUGUGGGGCUGCGCUGUGCAGGCUGGUUACGGGUGGGGCUCUGCUGCCCACCGAGUCAUUGCUCAAAGGCAAACGGGUCAAGCCACCGAG
rnacentral:lncRNA from 10 species